AGCACUUGUUUGUGGACAAAGACAAGUGCAGAAAAAAUCCUCUUUUUCAACCAAGAGGUCACUGUUUAGUGUGAGUUCUGAUACACAUAAGAAGGAACAUG